GUCGUAACAAGGUCUCCGUUGGUGAACCAGCGGAGGGAUCAUUGCUGGAACGCGCCCCAGGCGCACCCAGAAACCCUUUGUGAACUUAUACCUUACUGUUGCCUCGGCGCUAGCUGGUCCUUCGGGGCCCCUCACCCCCGGGUGUUGAGACAGCCCGCCGGCGGCCAACCCAACUCUUGUUUUUACACUGAAACUCUGAGAAUAAAACAUAAAUGAAUCAAAACUUUCAACAACGGAUCUCUUGGUUCUGGCAUCGAUGAAGAACGCAGCGAAAUGCGAUAAGUAAUGUGAAUUGCAGAAUUCAGUGAAUCAUCGAAUCUUUGAACGCACAUUGCGCCCUCUGGUAUUCCGGAGGGCAUGCCUGUUCGAGCGUCAUUUCAACCCUCAAGCCUGGCUUGGUGAUGGGGCACUGCUUCUUACCCAAGGAGCAGGCCCUGAAAUUCAGUGGCGAGCUCGCCAGGACCCCGAGCGCAGUAGUUAAACCCUCGCUCUGGAAGGCCCUGGCGGUGCCCUGCCGUUAAACCCCCAACUUCUGAAAAUUUGACCUCGGAUCAGGUAGGAAUACCCGCUGAACUUAAGCAUAUCAAUAAGCGGA
rnacentral:rRNA from 1 species